rnacentral:sRNA from 1 species
AAAAUGAAAACUAUUCCAAUUCUGGUCAUGACACGGCAGUCAAAUAUGUAAAUUUAGCCAGCAUUCUGAAACUGGUUAGCAUUUUGGGAUCCUGGUUUUUGUGGCGUCGAGUGUGGAAAAAUGGAAAAUUGAUGGACAAAUUGAUUAUGUCGUGCUUUGGCAGUUUCUGCAACCAAUAAUGCAUGUUGGGCAAACAAUUGCAGAUAUUAGCCCCAUUAACUGCUCGCCUGGAAGUUUGUCUCAAAAUGGAAAAUAGAAAUCAAUUAGGUCUGCGUCAGGGGAACUCAUAAAGGCAUUGGCAUAGCAUCGGGCCAAGUGAAAAUUGUGUCAACCAAAGUCUAGGAAAAUUGCCUAACCUCCAAGGGUGCUGCGGUGCGGCAUUAUCGCAAAAGGGCAGAGGAACUCGUUCGUUUUCCCUGGCCUUUUGUGUGCAUCGAAGUAAAAGUAAAGCAUAACACACAGGCGGGCA